GGUAAAAUUCAAAACAAUUAUCGACAAAUCGAUAUGACGACAUCACUAGUUGGUUUUAUAGACGCAAUGACGCCGGCAGUGGCGCGCCGCGGGCCGAGCUCGCUCCACGCUUGUCAGUCUGCUGGCGACCGCAAUACAGACCACACAUCUCUUGAAAGAAAUUCGAUCGAUAAACAGAUAACACGUCCAAUCCACACAACCUCUGCCCCAUAACUACACUUGCCGACUUGCUAAUGAUAAAUAACAGCCAAGUGUUACAAAUCGACAUCGAUAAAAUCGCGUGGCAUAGCCGUGUCAACAAUGUAGCCAUAGUGACAUGAUCGUGUUGACAGUCUGACAGUUAUUGUGGUCAAAAAUGCUGUUUUUACUAAAGAUGUAUGAUAAAAAGUGUUGUUGUUGUUAAAAAUUGUUUUUGUCGACAAUAAUUCGUUUCGUUAAAGUUUUGUAUAAGUAAGCUGUCAUUAUGGGGAAUGGAAUGAAUAAGGUUCUGCAAGGGCUGUAUGUGGGCAACUACAGAGACUCUAAGGAUCCGGUCCAACUCGACAAGUACAAGAUAACGCACAUACUGUCCAUACACGACGCGGCCCGACGGUUACACUCCGAUAAACACUACCUAUGUAUCAUGGCAUCAGACUCGCCCGAUCAGAACCUCACGCAGUACUUCAGCCUCUGCAACGACUUCAUACACGCCGCCAGGCUGCGCGACGGGAACGUGCUCAUACACUGUUUGGCGGGCAUGUCUCGUAGUGUGACUGUUGCGGUGGCUUACAUCAUGUCGGUGACGAAUCUCAACUGGCGAGAGGCCCUGAAGGUGGUGAGGGCGGGCCGAGCCGUCGCCAACCCUAACUUCGGCUUCCAGCGGCAGCUGCAAGACUUUGAGACUUAUAAACUGGUCGAGGAGAGAAGAAGGUUAAAGGAGCGUUACCCUUCCUUAGCCUUGACGGACAGAGACAUGUCGGAGUGUCGGGUGAUGCUGGACUCUUACCAGACCAUGCUCAGUGAGAGGACGAUAUGCGAGGGCAAGUGCGCGAUGGGUCGCCAGUGCCCCACUGGAGUCUGCAGAACAGGUUCCAAGCGCCAGCCGCGGCCGCGAAAGCCGUCAGUACCCAACGCUAACGUGGAGACCGUUGGAGGAGGACUGAAGAGGUCUCCUUCAACCCUCUCCACCACGUCUACAGCAUCAGGCUACAGGCCGCGGUCGUCUCCUGCUGGACUUUACAGCUACACUGGUGCUCCGUCCCGGCCAUCCCGCUCGGCGUCAGGGCUGAGCAUGACGCGGGUGACAGAUCCCGUAGGAGGCGGCUCUGCCAUGGCGGUCGGUGGAACAGAGUACUCUCGCCGUAGAGCUGCCUCCGCGCCUGCUACUCCCGCGCUGUCACCAGCUUCCUCCCCUCCCGGCUCGCCGCUUAGGGCUGCACAACACAGGGUUGCCUGUUCUUGGAUAAUACCCUCUGUGACCUGGGAUCCGGAUUCUAUGUAGUUGAAACCCUGAAGAGCCUAAUCACUGCAAAUAAAGUUUAGUCACGAACUCAAGAUUUUUAAUCACCACCAGCACCUGCACAUUCCAAGAUCCCGUGCUGUCCAGCGGUGUUCGUAGCAGGUCAGCUCUCGACGUCCAUCCACCGUCCGCCCCAUCACUCCCGCGCACAAACUCGACCGUUGAUUUCACAUGCGAAAUGAAACGGCUGUUUGAAUCAAACAAGACACAUUCUAAAUUGAAACGGAAUUUUGGAAUGCACCUUAAUACAAGGUAUGAUUGGCAAUCCUUUACGAUGGAUGUCGAAAGAAACCAAUGCGCUGUGAAUUCUUCUAUACAAAGCGAGUUGAUUAGGCGACGAUUGUUAUUGUAUUGCGAAAAAUAUACAAUUGGUGAUUUUUUUUAAUAUACCGAAUUUUUGAAAAUCAAAAACGUACUUUGUUCAGCUUGUAGCAAGCUGAGAUGGCAUUUGCAUUUCCAGUGUUUAAAAAAUGCUUAAAGUAUUUGUAAAAGCACAUUUCACUUCAAGGCCGUCAGUUUACAGUUGGCCUUAUUUCCCACUAAAAUGUCUGUGUAUUUUUUGCGUCGACAUACGACACAAAAUAAAUCAUUUUAUAUGAAUGUAGCCUUGCCUAAGGCGAUAUCGCGCGAAGUUAAGCUCCGCUAGCCAUUUGGGUAUAUUUGUCACUUUGAUGAUACUAUGAAGAGGCUUGUAAAUAAAAGCAAAGAUCAUCAACGAAAUGCUAGACUCAUCUCGCCAUAUAAAUACUAAGUAUAUUUACAGUGGUAUUUGGCUGCGAUUAUAUUAUUGUUGACUGGUAUCGAAAGAGGGAUACGUAAUGAGUCUACCUAUUUAUUUAGCUUGAGAUGAAUACAAAAGCCGAUAAACGAAACACUUGCGAGUAUGUUCAAACCGUCGUUAAACUGUUUUAAAAAGCAUCUACUUUAUUAUAUAUGCUUUCCGAUGUGGUUCUUUGUAUUUCAUAUCAAGCUGCAUUAAAUGAUAAUAAAAUAUUACAAUUAUUAUUUAAUUAUACCUAUACAAUUAUUAAUAUAUAAAGACAUACAAUUCUAAAUAUUGCCGAGAAAAUGUCUUAAUGUUGAAUGCAAUUAAGCAAAUCAAAUUGUGAAUGCUAAAGUACAACGUGCAAAUUGCAAUAUCUAAAUAAAGAGAUAUAUUUAAAUAUAUUUAUUUAUAGGUACGAAGACGAAAAGGUAGUGUAGUAGGUAAGGGUUGAAUAAAUUUGAAAUUCUGGCUGGUUCAGAUUAGUCUUUAAGAUUUCUACUUUCCAGUAACUUAGCUAUAUUUUCAGAAUCUCCUACCUACUUAGAAAGUUUUUCAUGUCAAGCUGUAGUUACUCUUCAUUAUAAUAUUACAUUAAUUCAAUAUGUAUGUAUAGAUGCGAUCUUUUUCUUGAUAAAACAGACUUUACAUAAAACAGAGAAUUAAACGUAUUUAAUUCUCUGUCAAAUUUUGAAUUUAAAUUAAAACAAUCCUUUUCGCUGUCCCCGAUUUGGACUUACGAUAUUCUUGAAAUUGAUUCGUGUAAUUAAUUUUGGUUAAUCAACAAUCACAUCAACUAAUUGUUGAAAACAACGUUUCGCAAACUGAUUCUAAUUGUGUAUAUUAUCUUAACUUUAUACUACUACAUGUGACGACACAAAAGUACCGAAGUGAUUACACAUUACCCUGAAAUUUCACAUAAGUGCGUAGAUGAAAAUGACCUCAAAAUUUCAGGAAAGUGAAUCAGUGUGAAAUAAGCUUACGAGAAAUGUAAUAAAAAUAUAUAUAUAUUGCGUCAGUUAAUUAGUAUUUAAUGACAAAGAUCAUUUUCGUGAAUUUAUCUCGAAUAACGUUAUCUACUCAUUCAUCAUCAUUUUAGGAGAUACAAGGCUAUAGGUAGAUCGGUCAUGUUUGACAGCGUUAGGGCUGGACCCUGAGAACACGGCUGUCCAUGUAUGCCUUAUAGACGAUUGUGAAUCUCCAUUUUAAAAUUAUCGCUUCAAAUUCUUAGCUUUGUAGUAUCUACCUUGUGGGCAUUUUUCCACUGACAGCUAAAUUUGUUUGUUGAGGGUCACCUCAUGAUUGAUUGUACGCACUUUCUAUAACAGUUAUGUCCUCCUUGAGAUAGGCAUCCAUCUACGUUGUUGCGUAAUAUAAAUACCGUGGGCCACGAAGCAUAGAAAACUUCAACUAGGUAUAUCCCUAAACUGUGCAUUUCUUUAUAUUUACGGAUAGAAAAGGAAACCUUAAAGCAUUGUCUUUAAGCACUCCAAAUUCUAAUGUGUUGUAUGUAAAUUGGUCACAACUAAGUAGGUACUACAAAUUACCACCUAUAAUGAAAGCUGAUUCAUUCAUGAGUAUUGUAAAUUAAUAUUAAAUUGGCUGAUAAGUGGAAAAAUAUCUAACGUUGCUCAAAUUGUUAACAAGUCCGUUCCUAGCGCAGCACAAUUUUGUAUUAGGUUGCACUUGUAAUUACGUCAUUCGUAUGCUCACUUCAUCCUAGCAUUUUAGCUAAUAAGUCUAGGGUUCAACUAUGUUGUGAAAUUUUGCAUAUCUUUCUCUUUCUCACUCUUAAGAGGCUUAGCCAGUUAGAAAUUGUGAUUUAGAUGCCUUUAGCGCGGUGGCAUUUGUAGUUGAUUAGUGGGUAACUGGGGCUGGUUGGGAUGAGGCAAUGAAAAUAAUAUUAUAAAUCGUGCACCAUGCCUAUAGCCCUGGAUAUGUCCAGCUUCAAUGGACAUCGGGAAAUAAUGCCAUUUACGCCAGUAAAAAAGUAUUUCCGCUCGCCGUAAACCCAUCUGUAUGCCUCGACGUUUAUACAGUAGAAAAGUGAAUAUGCCAGAACAGUUGCAAUAACAAUUACAUUAAAUCUUUUUAAAAUUGGUUGGUGUCAUCAAUGCAUUUGCGUCAUCCUAACAAGCCCAAAUUAAUUCUGAUAUAAUUAUAAGACGCUGCCACUGUAGCUUUGUUAUGGACAAUUGUAUAGUUUAUAAGAAGCUACGUAUCUAUAUAUACCUACUUGAUCUUUACCAUUUACAUCAUAAUCAGUUGUAUUAGAAAAUCCAUUGCUCUUCGAAGCAAUGAAAUUACGACUGCUUAUGACGUAGUUUGUGGAGAUAGGUACAUACAAUUUAAUUUCUAUUAAAUAACAUGUAGGUACAAUACUCCAGUUGGUCUUCAUUUAAAUUUAUGACGAAAUAUUUUUAAAACAAAUGAUUAUUUUUAUAAAAACAAACGAUUUUUAACAUUAUCACUGUUCCAUCAUACAAUGACAAUAUUUUAUGAAAUGUUUAAUAGAAGCACUAUUUUUGUCCACAUACAGGUGUUGGAUUUACGCACCAAAAUAUGAUAUGUUGAAAAAUAAGUACAAUUUGGAGGCGAAUGAAGUUAUCAUUUAAAUUUCCAUAUUAUAUGUUUAUAUAAAUCUAACGACUUAUUAAGAUAAAGUCCAGGGAUUUUUGCUCUAUGCAAAGUUUAUCACAUUUUGAGAGUUCACAGUUCAAUUAUUUCACCCUCUUCAAGAUUCUUACAUUUUAGAUAGAUUCCGUGAACACAUUAUUUUGGUUGUAAAAGUGAUGAAUCAUGUUAUAACGAUUAUUUGAAAAAUACAGAAGUUCUAAUAUAUUUUUUACCUAAGUAUUAUUAACUCCUUUUAAUUUAUUAACUCCUUUUGAUCGUUUCAUAUGUAAUGAUCUUCUAUUUGAAACUGAAAACGACGAAGCAAUAAUGCAAAUUGUGUGAUCUAAAGAUGGAGUUCAUAUGGUUUAUUAUUGUGUAUAUUUUAAUAAAAAAUACAAUUA